UUUUAAAUGCAUUAGCUGGCUUUGCGAGCCUGUUUUUCAGUGUUGUAAUUUCUAAUACGCGCUGUGAUGAACUGGUUCGACUUGCUGCUGAUAGACAACAUUUUUCUAUGUCUCUGACCUCAAAUCAGGUAGGAUUACCCGCUGAACUUAAGCAUAUCAAUAAGCGGAGGAAAAGAAACUAACAAGGAUUCCCCUAGUAACGGCGAGUGAAGCGGGAAAAGCUCAAAUUUGAAAUCUGACGGUCUUUGGUCGUCCGAGUUGUAGUCUGGAGAAGUGCUUUCUGUGCUGGACCGUGUACAAGUCUCUUGGAACAGAGCGUCAUAGAGGGUGAGAAUCCCGUCUUUGACACGGACUACCAGUGCUAUAUGAUGCGCUCUCAAAGAGUCGAGUUGUUUGGGAAUGCAGCUCAAAAUGGGUGGUAAAUUCCAUCUAAAGCUAAAUACAGGCGAGAGACCGAUAGCGAACAAGUACCGUGAGGGAAAGAUGAAAAGCACUUUGGAAAGAGAGUAAAACAGUACGCGAAAUUGUUGAAAGGGAAACGCUUGAAGUCAGUCGUGUCUACUGGGACUCAGCCUGGCUUUUGCCUGGUGCACUUCCCUGUUGACAGGCCAACAUCAAUUUUGAUCGGCAGACAAAGGCUGAGGAAAUGUGGCAGCUCCGGCUGUGUUUAUAGUCCUUGGUUGUACAUGUCGAUUGGGAUUGAGGAAUCCGGACACGCAAGUGUUGUGGGAUGUUGGCGUAAUGGCUUUAAACGACCCGUCUUGAAACACGGACC
rnacentral:rRNA from 1 species